AGGCCUGGGGAAACGGAAGAAUUUUGAGCAGAGAAAUGAUAUGCUCAGAGCUGGCCUGGCACAGGAAAGAGGCUAGAACAGCUUUUUCAAUUGUCCUGAAGAGGUGGUUGAUCUGAAUAAUCUAGGACAUCAUUACCAAGCACAAAAACACCCUCAAUCCAUUCCAGAGUUCUCUACUUUUUUCUGUGGCUUAUACCUCCAAUUUUCCCACCAACCAAGGCAACCCCUGUGAAAGAGUCGUUCGACCCCAGGUUGAGAACCGCUGACUUAGAGGAAAC